ACCUGUGUAACAAUUGCAUACAGUGGUAGGGUACUGUAGCUACAUAGUACCUGGAUAAAUACUCUAUAACCCCAACACAAACGAGAAAGAAAGAAAAAUGAGAAAAGGAAACAACUGCAGAGUCCGGAAUGCACAAUAUUACCCGAUAAUGAGCCUUGGAACUAUGUAACAAACUUGUCCCAUUAUACAAGAGUCAAAUCCAUAUGUAACCUGAGAACACAAGCUAUAGGUUAUAUUCACUACAACAAAGUAUAACUAUCCUCAACCCAACAUAUACCUUUCCCUAAAACAAGGAAACUGAGAGUAAGCAUACGGAAUAAAGUUCACAGAAAAUGUCACAAAUAAAAUUAUGCUCACCCAUAUCCAAAAGAAAAAUGCUAUCUCAAAAGCAUUUUGGAAAAGGAUAAAGUGGAUCAAGAAGAGGACAAAGUGGGGGCGAUGAAACCAAAAGUGAUCAUCUGAUGGUUGUACAACUAAUUCACCUUCUAUGGCUGCAUGCUUUUCAGCUACUUCAUGAGCUAGUUGCGUUAUCACAUGCUCCAGCUUAGUGCCAACGGCAAGUAGAAGCUAAAAGAAUGCAAUCCAGAAGAGGAAAGAUAUAAGCAGUGGAGACAAGCAAAAGGAAAAAAAAAAAAAAUCAUAGGGUCCUUCAACCUAUCAAGUUGAAAGCACAAAUAUAUAGACAUGCCAACAUAAACAGAGUUAACAUGUAAUAUAGGCAAUGCAAAAAUAAAAUAAAAUAAAAAUGAAAGAAAGAAAGAAAGAAAGAAAGAAAGAAAGAAAGAAAAGAUAACAGGUCAUAUUCAUAGUCAAAUUGCAACAAACCUGAAUUUAAAAGAUGUUUAUACCAGUCUUCUAGCAACAGGAAACCAAGGUAUGGCUUUAUGUUGAUAGAUUCAAUAGUU